CUGAGGUGCGUGCAUAGAAAGUAAUGGUUAGCAACAUUGUCAGCACCUUCUUGGUCUCCCACUCUCACUAUUGGUUUUUGGUUGAAUGUGCAUCUCCAAAUACAAAAUACUAGUGUAAUACACUUACCAAACCCCACCAGAAAAGUCCCUGUUAGUGGCUCAUCAUAGGAAAGAUUUGGAUAACUAGAUUUCCAGCUCAUUCUGCAACAGCAAAACACGCAUUGCACGAAGGUGAAAAAAGCCUAUGCGCCCCUAGGUUUCACAAGUGCAUGUGGGUGUAGCUCUGAGACUGUGCAUGAACACCAGCCUAUCCCAGCUUGAGUCCUCCUUCCUGAGCUCGCUGGUCGCCACUGAUCCCAAAUAAUUGCACCGAGAGCAAGCUAACACCAUGUUUAGAUCCCAAUUUUUUCUUCAAACUUCCAACUUUUUCCAUCACAUCAAACUUUCCUAUUCACAUAAACUUCCAACUUUUCCGUCACAUCGUUCCAAUUUCAACCAAACUUCCAAUUUUGACGUGAACUAAACACAGCUAGAACAUUCACUCAUUCACUGAAAACUCCUCUCAGCUUUCAUCUUCCAACCUGCAAGAGGGGAAGAUCCCCCACACAUACACCUUUCCUGAUUUGAUGGCUGUUGUUUUCUAAGGUGAUCUCCCCCUAUCUUUAUUUCUCCCUUUCUCUCUGCCACUGCCACUGCAACUGUGACCCAAACCCCAUGUACUGAUGCUGCUGCUGCUGCUGCUGGCAUCUUUGCUGUUUGGUGAGGAAUCCAUCAAUCAACAUUGCCUGAGAAGGGAGUCAGAGACCCAAUGGUGAAGAAGGAAUCAUCAUCUAGUCCCUGAUGAAGAACACCCUCAAUAAUUCUUCUCUUUUCCAUGUGCACUCCCAUCUGUAAAGAUGUGAGGAGGGAAAAAAAAUAACUAGCAGGAUCAGUGUAGUGGUGGUGAGGUGACACUUGUGUCCCCCUGAGCCAUCAUUUUUACAAGGGGAGCAUAUAUGCCAGUCAGUAGACAGCAGUAGGUGUUUGAUGUCCAUUGCAAUGGCAGGCAAGGUCCCCUGUGGUGUGUGCAGUCCUUCAGUUGUUGGCUAGGAGGAGAAAAGUUGGGAGAGUAACCUGUCAGGGGCCAUGCCCUGAGAAAGAAAAAAAACACCUCAUUUGAUUUGAUGCUCUUGUUAUAACUUGCAUUGUCUUGUGAAGCUGUGACUCACCUCCUCUUUUUUCCUUUCUUUAGGUAAGGCAGCAAAUGGAACUCUGGAAAUUGCCAAACAUACUGGGCAAGCUCCUUUGCUUUUUUAGCCUUCAGUCUAAUUCAAGCAAAUCAUGUUUUAUCACUCCUUCUGCAUGAUGACGGUUUGUGGCAUCAAUUGCUCAGUGUGGGGAUGAUGGCUGUGUCAUAAUCUUCAGAGAUUACCUGUGUUAGCCUUGGACCAUGCUCAUCCAUACAUUACAAGUGAAUUUUCAGGCGAUUUGGGGGGCCGGCAUUUCACAUGCACAUAGAAGACGGCAAGACGCUCAUGUCUAAAUGCAACAGUAUGCUUCAGAUUUGUAUCCAUUCAUCCAUCACCUUUCUUCAAGCCGAUUCAAUGCAAAGGUGAGAACCGAGAAGGCAGGCAAUAAUGCAAGGCAGUCAUCGUCGUCGACGACGACGACGUUGAGCCGUAGAAAAAAGGGGGCAAAAACAACAGUGGACAAUUAAAAUCCAAAGGAGAAUCUAGUGACAUCCACUGUUGAGUGCAGCUGCAGCUGCAGCAGCAGCAAGAGGAGAGGAGAGGAGAGGAGCCAGCAAGAAAGCAUGGAAAGCUGUGGUGCACUUUCAGCUUGCAAGAAUUUGCAAUGGUCAGGGGGUGCCAGGAGGCCAGUAUUGCAUGGUUCAGUUAAAUGGGGAAAGUGCAUCGCCUGGCAAUGCACAGGCUGUGUGGCAUUGAACUUUCUUUCAGGUCCUCACAGCCUUUUUUCAGAAUUUUUCUUUCUGGGAGAAGUUUCAGCCUUUUGCAGUGACCGGAAAUGCUUGUUGAGUUUGCUGUUUCUGCAGGUAAAAGUUGUAGUAGUAGUAAUAAUCUUUAUGUGAAAUGUGCUGAUAGAGAUAGGCAUCACAUUCUUGUGUGAAGUUACCUUCCUCAAAUGAUGUCUGAUGACCUUCUAGAAAACAGUGGUACUUCAGUCCAUGUCCCUCAGAAGUGUAGCUCAUCUCAGUAGUCCAUCAAAAAAGCAAGUUAAGCAACUAGACAAAAUAUUGUUCAGACUAUCUUACUCUUAACAUAUAUUUUUGCAUUGUUAAGUUGAUGACCUUUUGUGGAUUAGCUUGAGGUAUAGAAAUUUGUAGUCUGUGCAGCUAGAAGGGAGGCUUUGCAUGAAUGUCUUCUUGGAUAAGAGCACUUCUGAGGGAUCUUUGGCUCGGUUCCCUUGGGAGCAUCUACUACUUGUGAAAGAAACUGCAUUUUUUCUUCUUCUGAAUUUUCUCUGUGCAAGUGCAACCUUGCAUUCCAUUUCUUUGUCAAUUUCUUCUUUUCCCUGUACUUCUCCUUUUCGGGUAGAUAGAGUGAGAGAGAAUCAGAAUAAAUCUGCAAUGUGUUACGGAGGAUCCAGAAUUCUUUGGACUGUCCCAGGCUCAUAAAGACAAUGCGUUCAAGCAUCUCAUGUCAUCAACAGGUGACCUACCUAUACAAUGCUACCAAUCAUGCACGCAUGGGCUAGUUCUGGGAGAUGUCUAUGAUCUAGAGCUCACCAAAAUCUCUUUCCUUGCUUAGGGCCUAUUUGGGAAGUUUAACAUUCUGAGAAGCAGUUGGUUGGUAGCCAGCUUCUGAGAAUCUGGAAAAGCUGGGUUUCCCGACUUCUGGAUUCUAGUUCAUUU